rnacentral:rRNA from 1 species
UACGUAGGGUGCAAGCGUUGCCCGGAAUUAUUGGGCGUAAAGAGCUCGUAGGCGGUUUGUCGCGUCUGUCGUGAAAGCCCACGGCUUAACCGUGGGUCUGCGGUGGAUACGGGCAGACUAGAGGCAGGUAGGGGAGAAUGGAAUUCCCGGUGUAGCGGUGAAAUGUGCAGAUAUCAGGAGGAACACCGGUGGCGAAGGCGGGUCUCUGGGCCGAAAUUGACGCUGAGGAGCGAAAGCGUGGGGAGCAAACAGG